CUACGGGGUGCACCAGUGAGGAAUAUUGCACAAUGGGGGGAACCCUGAUGCAGCAACGCCGCGUGGAGGAUGACGCAUUUCGGUGUGUAAACUCCUUUUAUAUGUCAAGAAAAUGACGGUAGCAUAUGAAUAAGCACCGGCUAACUCCGCGCCAGCAGCCGCGGUAAUACGGAGGGUGCAAGCGUUACGCGGAAUCACUGGGCGUAAAGGACGCGUAGGCGGGUUGGAAAGUCAGGUGUGAAAUCCUACAGCUUAACUGUAGAACUGCACUUGAAACUUCUAAUCUAGAGUAUGGGAGGGGGAGAUGGAAUUAGUGGUGUAGGGGUAAAAUCCGUAGAUAUCACUAGGAAUACCUAAAGCGAAGGCGAUCUCCUGGAACAUUACUGACGCUAAGGCGUGAAAGCGUGGGGAGCAAACAGGAUUAGAUACCCCCGUAGUC
rnacentral:rRNA from 1 species